rnacentral:rRNA from 1 species
AACGAACGCUGGCGGCAGGCCUAAUACAUGCAAGUCGAGCGCAUUCUUCGGAAUGAGCGGCGGACGGGUGAGUAACGCGUGGGAAUAUGCCCUUCUCUAAGGAAUAGCCUCUGGAAACGGAGAGUAAUACCUUAUACCCCCUUCGGGGGAAAGAUUUAUCGGAGAAGGAUUAGCCCGCGUUAGAUUAGGUAGUUGGUGGGGUAAUGGCCUACCAAGCCUACGAUCUAUAGCUGGUUUGAGAGGAUGAUCAGCCACACUGGGACUGAGACACGGCCCAGACUCCUACGGGAGGCAGCAGUAGGGAAUCUUAGACAAUGGGGGCAACCCUGAUCUAGCCAUGCCGCGUGUGUGAUGAAGGCCCUAGGGUCGUAAAGCACUUUCGCCAGAGAUGAUAAUGACAGUAUCUGGUAAAGAAACCCCGGCUAACUCCGUGCCAGCAGCCGCGGUAAUACGGAGGGGGUUAGCGUUGUUCGGAAUUACUGGGCGUAAAGCGCACGUAGGCGGAUUAGUAAGUUAGAGGUGAAAUCCCAGGGCUCAACCCUGGAACUGCCUUUAAUACUGCUAGUCUUGAGUUCGAGAGAGGUAAGUGGAAUUCCGAGUGUAGAGGUGAAAUUCGUAGAUAUUCGGAGGAACACCAGUCGCGAAUGGCGGCUUACUGGCUCGAUACUGA